UACAGAGGUCCCAAGCGUUGUUCGGAUUCAUUGGGCGUAAAGGGUGCGUAGGUGGCGUCGUAAGUCGGGUGUGAAAUCUCGGGGCUUAACUCCGAAACUGCAUUCGAUACUGCGGUGCUUGAGGACUGGAGAGGAGACUGGAAUUUACGGUGUAGCAGUGAAAUGCGUAGAGAUCGUAAGGAAGACCAGUGGCGAAGGCGGGUCUCUGGACAGUUCCUGACGCUGAGGCACGAAGGCCAGGGGAGCAAACGGG
rnacentral:rRNA from 1 species